rnacentral:rRNA from 1 species
AUGCGUGAGUACACCUGCGGCGAUGUGAGGCCAAACCUGGUCACCUAUUCGACCUUGUUGGGCGGGCUCUGUCGUGCUGGUAAGAUGAAGGAAGCGUUUGAACUAUUUGAGGGGAUGAUCGAGAAAGACCACAUCGUGCCAGACCAGCUGACAUACAAUGUGCUCAUCAACGGGUUCUGCCGGCUGGGGCAGGUGGAGAAGGCACGGACAAUCUUUGGUUUUAUGAGGAAGAAUGAGUGUGAGCCAAAUGCUUUCAACUAUGCAACUCUUAUCAAUGGACACUGCAAGAAAGGGGAAGUGGAGAAUGCAAAGCUGGUGUUCGAGGAGAUGAGGACUGCUGGGGUGGAACCAGACGCCGUCAGCUACACGGCACUGAUCGGGUGCCUUUGUAGACAUGGGAGUGUUGAUGAGGGGAUCGAUCUUCUGAUGGAGAUGAGGGAGAAGGGAUGCAAGGCUGAUGUUGUCACAUACAAUCUGCUGCUUGAAGGGCUGUGCAAAGAUGGGCGGAUGGCGGAAGUGAUGGACUUGCUUGGGAGGUUGCCAGAGGAAGGAGUUCAGUUGAACGUCGCAAGCUAUCGGAUUGUGAUGAAUACUCUGUGCUCAAGUGGAGAUAUGGAGAAGGCCGUUGGCUUGCUGGGAUUAAUGCUCAGAAGAGGGUUUUUGCCGCACUAUGCAGCCUCAAACAAAUUGUUGAUUGGUCUGUGCGAUGUUGGGCAAGUGGCAGAUGCGACAGCCGCAUUGUAUGGAUUGGCCAAAUUUGGGUUCAUGCCAGAGGCUAGUUGUUGGGCAAAGCUGAUUGAGGCUGUGUGCCGGGACAGAAAACUUAGGAGAUCUGUUGAGCUUCUGGAUAUCUUAAUUACGGGAGGGUGA